CUUAGACCCCUGAGCUGCCGUAUACAAAGUCUGAUUAUCCUGACAAUGCCAUGCUGGAGAUGUGAGCACACGCAGAUGCCUUAGUCAGCAGUCUCGGCAGAGCACAGCCUUCCAGCCAUACCCCUGAGGCACCAAACAAGUGAGAGAAGGUGCCUUGCACUCCUCAGACCAGCCUAUCUGCCAGUCCAGGUAACACGCUGAGUCCCUUCAAGAAUGGCUCCCGGGAACCUGCUGAGAUACACCUGCAAAACCCACAACUCAGCAGAAUCC
rnacentral:lncRNA from 1 species